ensembl:misc_RNA Metazoa_SRP Metazoan signal recognition particle RNA
GCUGGGCAUGGUGGCGCAUGCCUGUAAUCCCAGCUACUCAGGAGGCUGAGGCAGGAGAAUCGCUUGAACCCAGGAGGUGGAGGUUGCAGUGAGCCGAGAUCAUGCCACUGCACUCCUGCCUGGGUAACAGAGCGAGACUUCAUCUCAA